AUGGUAUGUCCCCAGCCAGUGCUGAGCCAGUCUCAGGACCACAAGCUCCUCAGGCAGCCCCUGACCCCCCGGCUGAUUUGCAUACCCAGCAGCUGCCUCCCCAGCAAGGGGAUAAGAGAGGCCCAGGAGGAGCCCUGCCCAGCUCGGGGUCAGGGACCAGAAGCAGGCAACUCCGCCAUGGCCUGGACCCCUCUCCUCCUCGGCCUCCUCGCUCACUGCGCAGGCUUUGCGGCCUCCUAUGAGGUGACGCAGACGUCCUCAGUGUCGGUAAAUCUGGGACAGACAGCGAGGAUCACCUGUGAGGGAGACAACAUUGGAAGUAAAUAUGCUUCCUGGUACCAGCAGAAGCCCGGCCAGGCUCCUGUAACGGUCAUCUAUCGUGACAGCAACCGGCCCUCAGGGAUCCCUGACCGAUUCUCAGGCUCCAACUCGGGGAACACGGCCACCCUGACCAUCAGCGGGGCCCAGGCCGAGGACGAGGCGGACUAUUUCUGUGCAGCAGGGCAUAGCAGUAUUAAUGCUCACAGUGACACAGGCAGACGGGGGAAGUGA